rnacentral:rRNA from 1 species
UACGAAGGGGGCUAGCGUUGCUCGGAUUGACUGGGCGUAAAGGGCGCGUAGGCGGUUCGUACAGUCAGACGUGAAAUUCCUGGGCUCAACCCCGGGUCGGCCGUGGCAACUGUCGAGCUGGAGCACUGUAGAGGCAGGUGGAAUUCCGGGUGUAGCGGUGGAAUGCGUAGAGAUCCGGAAGAACACCGGUGGCGAAGGCGGCCUGCUGGGCAGUGGCUGACGCUGAGGCGCGACAGCGUGGGGAGCAAACAGG